GACGAACGCUGGCGGCGUGCCUAAUACAUGCAAGUCGAACGAGAGCACCCGGUGCUUGCCCUGGUCAAUCUAGUGGCGAACGGGUGAGUAACACGUGGGUAACCUGCCCAUCAGAGGGGGAUAACAUCCGGAAACGGAUGCUAAAACCGCAUAGGUCUUCGAACCGCAUGGUUUGAAGAGGAAAAGAGGCGCAAGCUUCUGCUGAUGGAUGGACCCGCGGUGCAUUAGCUAGUUGGUGAGGUAACGGCUCACCAAGGCCGUGAUGCAUAGCCGACCUGAGAGGGUGAUCGGCCACAUUGGGACUGAGACACGGCCCAAACUACUACGGGAGGCAGCAGUAGGGAAUCUUCCGCAAUGGACGCAAGUCUGACGGAGCAACGCCGCGUGAGUGAAGAAGGUUUUCGGAUCGUAAAACUCUGUUGUUAGAGAAGAACAAGUGCUAGAGUAACUGUUAGCGCCUUGACGGUAUCUAACCAGAAAGCCACGGCUAACUACGUG
rnacentral:rRNA from 1 species